rnacentral:rRNA from 1 species
UACGUAGGGCGCAAGCGUGUCCGGAAUUAUUGGGCGUAAAGAGCUCGUAGGCGGUCUGUUACGUCCGCUGUGAAAACCCAGGGCUUAACCCUGGGCUUGCAGUGGAUACGGGCAGACUAGAGGUAGGUAGGGGAGAAUGGAAUUCCUGGUGUAGCGGUGAAAUGCGCAGAUAUCAGGAGGAACACCGGUGGCGAAGGCGGUUCUCUGGGCCUGACCUGACGCUGAGGAGCGAAAGCGUGGGGAGCAAACAGG